rfam:Termitomyces sp. J132 unplaced genomic scaffold scaffold276, whole genome shotgun sequence.
GUCCUUGUCGAUUAGUGGUCAAAUCAUCUCGUUGUGGCUUCAUUUCCGCUCCGAGAAGCCGGAAGUUCGAAUCCUCCCUGGGACA